GACGAACGCUGGCGGCGUGCCUAAUACAUGCAAGUCGAACGCAGUGGGGACGGUUUAGUAACACGUGGGUAACCUCCCAUCAGAGGGGAUAACACUUGGCUACAGGUGCUUAACCGAUACUGAUGGAUGGACCCGCGGUGCUUUAGCCAGUUGGUGGGGUAACGGCUCACCAAGGCCACGAUGCAUAGCCGGCCUGAGAGGGUGAUCAGCCACACUGGGACUGAGACACGGCCCAGACUCCUACGGGAGGCAGCAGUGGGGAAUCUUCGGCAAUGGGCGAAAGUCUGACCGAGCAACGCCGCGUGAGUGAAGAAGGUUUUCGGAUCGUAAAGCUCUGUUGUUAGAGAAGCGGUAUCUAACGAGAAAGCCACGGCUAACUACGUGCCAGCAGCCGCGGUAAUAC
rnacentral:rRNA from 1 species